rnacentral:lncRNA from 1 species
UGUCUCUCUUAAUCUGACAUUAUUAUCUUCGUGAGAUAUGUAGGUAUAUGAAUCAACUCUCUUAUCUAUUUAUGUCUUAUUUAUUUUUUAUAUGUAUUUGUAACUCAUUUUAAUUAUAUAUUUAUUUAAUAUUUAUCAUGUAUAUAUUAGAUUAAUUUAGAGGUAUUUUAAUAUUAAUCUAUCAAAAUAACAUCUUAGUAGGACUUUUUUAGUUCAGGUUCAAAUUCUGGUGUUGGCGUGACAUUUUUGAUUUGCAUAAGAUAGUAGAAUUAAAGAUAUUUGAUAUGUUAUGGAGAUACUAUUUGAUAUGUUUGGCAUGUUUAAAUUCACCAUUAUUUACUUUUUAAUAUUUUUUUUGUUAUAAAUUUUUAGGAUGAGGAAAUGGUGUUCGGUUCAAGGUAAGGAAGAUGAUAAACUUACUGACCUAGCGUAAGUUUUGCAGCUGAAAUGUUUAAUUUAAUUUUAAUUUUAGUAAUAAUUUUCUAUACUUAAUUAUAAUAUUAUAUUAAUUAUUAUAUUUUUUAGUGCAAUUGUGAGUGUGGCGAUGUAAUCAAAGCGUGGCUUUUUAUGGUACUUUUUUUAUUUUAAUUCAUUCAUUAUGUUGUUGAAUCCUAAACUGAAAUGGAGCUUCUCAAAGGUACGCAAUUUUACUAUUCAUUCUCUAACAGAAAAUUCAGAUUAUUUUAUGAAUCAAAUUUCACCAAAUACUUUUGUUUUUCUUACAUGAAAUCAUGCUUCUACCUUAAUCUGAUCCACAAUUUCUGCUUAACCCUAUUAAUUAAUUUGUGUUUGAUACAUAUAUAUUCUGUAGGGUAAAAUCCCUAAGAAAAUGGGAAUUCUUUUGAAGGGUCGUUUUCAAAUUAUGUAUAUGUCUUCUGGAUUGUAGCUAAAUAAGGUAAUGUUUUGUUUUAUUCCCUUUGUAGUAGCUAGCUAGGUCUGGAAUUGGAAUGGAUAUACUGGAAUUCAAAGCACCUACCCUCCUUAAUUAUAUAGGUUGAAUUCAUUGUUUUCUCAAAGAUCUUGUACUGAAUUUUCUCAUCUUAGAUUGUAUUGUUUUUCAUCCUUAAUUGCUAUUUGGGUUCAUAAUUUAUGUGUGUAAAACAGAUAGCUGAGGAUAAUCUUUGUUGUUACUGUUUCCCGGAACUGCAAAAAGAAAACAUGAGUUCAAGCACUAUAUAUAGCUGUUCAGGUAAACUUUUUUUUCCUCCAUGUAUGGUGCGAGUUCUAGUUUAAUCAAUGGAGAGAGGGAGGUGAAACAUAGUGAGAUGGGUAUGGUUGAUAAAACCCUUAACAGAUUGAUUACUUUGAAGGGGCACCAAACACGAUACUAUCACGAACAGUUUGACACCGGUAAAAUUCUAAAAAGUGAAUUCAUUGAAUGUAAUCACAUGUGUUGCUGGCAAACACAGAUAAACCUUCCGUUAUAAGGAUGACAUUAAUAAAGAAUAUAUAAGAUAAAUGAGUCUUUUACUGUUUUAGAUGGAGAUGUGGUGUCGUGAGAUCUCUUGGUGGUCUCGGUCUUUUUAGCUGCUGUUGCUCCAGUCAUGGUUUGUAGUUGCGUUCAGAUAUGCGGCUUAUGUAAUCGUGAGCACUGCAAGUGUUGCGAUGCGAAUUGUGGUCACGGUCGUUGUGAUAUGAUUUUAUUUUUUAUUAGCAUAAAAUAUUAUAAUUUAUUACUUAGCUUAUAACUCACAUAUGUCAUAUUUUCUCUCUAAAGUUUGUCUAUCUAUAUCAAUAUCAACAACUAUUUAUCGCUUUACAUUUCAAAACAAUGUCAAGAAUGUCUAUCACUUUAAAACAUCUCUAGUCCUUAUAAAAAUGCCCUAUAAAUCUAUGAUAAAAAGAAAAAGGAAGAUAUAUAUGUAAUUUGUGUAAGCACUAUAUAGUUCGUUGUGGUCUGAUGCGAAUGUUGCGCCCACUACAUUGAAGCCAUUGCAGUGUUGUAAUAUGGUUUUUUAUUUGAUUUACAAUCAAAUCGCAAUUGUGGUGUGAAACCGCAAUAUUGCGGCUGCAUGUGAUGCGGUCUACAGUUUGAAACUGGUCUUCCUAGACUCCCCAACAAUAUGUAAAAAAUGAUCAUUCAUGCAAACUUGAAAUUGAAUUAUAUCUUGGUCACUACUUUUGGCCUGAAAUAGUUGCUAAGUAGUUUCUAUCACUACUUUUAGUUUGAACUUGAAUUAUUAGUUUUCGAACAACAAAUUUUAUAGAUAGGAAGUGCAAGGGAUACUCCAACCCAUAUACAAAGUUGAAUUAUAAAAAACUACCGACACAACUAAGAUUUCUCUCUUGAUAUACACACUAAAGGAGUAAGACAACUGUUUAAGUACAAGUAAGAUCCCACCUUUGACUUAGCCAGCAACCACUUCCCCGAAACGACCUUUAUACGCCCAAUUAGUACCAAUAGAUCAAGAUUAGUUAAAUUUGAAUUUUGAAAUGACUGAUGAUUUAUUGAUAUAUGUUAUUUAUCAUGCGUGUAGCUUAAAAUUCUGUAACCUAGAAAUGAAUCAGGUUAGGGGAAAUAGAACUUAUGUUUACUUAGGAUUUAAUAGAUGAAGUGUUUUCCAAGUUCUUAGUUACAUUUUGUUGUUUGUUCAUGUUUGUAGCCUACUAAAGAGUUCUGUUCCUUUAUUCAUUUGAAGGUAGACCAAAAGAUAAAACUACUAAUAAAAUGAUUAAGUUAUUCAUUAAUCAAAUUUAAAGUUUGAUCCAUCUCUUUUUUGGGUUAGCUUAAAAAAUACUAAUUAACUAUUAAACAUUAGUAUAUAGGGUAGUGUAGUUGAGAGGUGAAGAAAUUAAAUGCUAGGUGGUCAGUAGUGUAAUGAGUGUUCAUAUCAGGUACCUCUACUGGGUUAAAAGUACAUCAUUGAGCAAGUUGUGAUGAAGACAAUGCAAUAAUCCAAACACUUAUCAUCAUCAUCAUCAUAAUUUAUUGGUAGAAUUAAAAAUUACACAAACUUACCAAGUUAGAGGACAAUGUAUCAACUUAUUGGUAGCAAGUUAGAGAAAAAACUUAACUUGGUAGAAUUACAAUAACUAUUCAUUAUCAGGUACCUCCACUGGGUUGAAGGUACAAAUUUUAUAAUGAAUUUUCUCCUCUUUUCCAUUGAAAUUAUUGCACCUCUUUUCCUUUUCAUUCUCUCAUGUGUUUUUCACCUAGGUUUUCUUUGACUGCUUUUAGGUCUGAAUGUACAACUUUUGCCUUGUACAACUUUCAGCCACUGGGUUAGUGCAGAGAGAGUAUAUGAGAAAUGAGAAUUUAAGACUUAAACUUCUUCACAUUUAAAUUAAGUGUUUUUAUCCAGAUGGAAUAAAUAGUUUCAUGUUUUGGAUUCUGCACAUAUGUCCAAAACUAAUGCAAGUAAUUUCAUGUUAUGGGGUCACUAACCUGAACUUAAAAAAAAAGGACCAAUAUAAGAUAGAAUAGAUAAGGUGUAAAUGAUGUACUCAAACCCAAAUACAACAUGGAUCAAAUAAAGGUGACUUAAAUCUAAAUAUUUCUCAUUGUUUUCAUAAGGGAGUUACAAGUCUAUAUAUACAAGAGGCUAUUAAUACAAUCUCAUAAUAAUAGGAUCAUAUUAACACAAAAUUGACUAUUAAUAAAUACAAAAUAUAUUUACGAUAACAUUCCCUCUUAAGCUGGAGCAUAUAUACAUGUCAGAUGCUUCUAGCUUGUUAUAUAUGUAAGAUAUCCUAGGACCUUGUAAGGACUUAGUUGGAAUGUUUACAAGUUGAUCAUUAGAUCUAAUAAAAGAAGUUUUGAUGAUGCCUAAGAGAAUCUUCUCUCUAAUGAAAUGACAACCAACUUCUAUGUGUUUAGUCCUCUCAUCAAAGAUUGGAUUUUUGACGAGAGGUGCAAAGUAGAUUGAUUGUCACAAGCAAGUUCCAUAGGACCUAUCUCACAAAACUUAAACUCUUGAAACAGACUCCUUAGCCAUAUAUGUUCACAUGUUGCAUUAGUCAUAGCACGAUACUCAAUUUCAGUGCUUGAUCUUGCAAGAACGGUUUGUUUUUUGCUUUUCCACGAGAGCAAGUUACCUCCAAUGAGAAUACAAUAGCUUAAAAGUAGAUCUUCUAUCACCAGCAUAUGAAUAUCAAGAAUAUUAGUGUGGCCUUUGUCCAUAUAAAUAAGCCCUUUGCCUAGUGAUCCUUUGAUGUAUCUUAGGAUUCGAACAACUGCAUAUUAAUAACUAUCACAUGGUGAAUUGAGAAACAGACUAAUGUAACGACUAGAAAUACAAUGUCUGACCUGGUCAUAGUAAGAUAAUUUAACUUUGUAACCAUUCUUCUAUAUCGGUUUGGGUCUAGAUAGGGUUCGCCUUAAUUGGGUAUAAGCUUCACAUUUGUAUCCAUAGGUAUAUCCAUAGGCUUACAAUCAAGCAUCCUUGUUUCUUCUAAAAUGUCAAGAGCAUAUUUCCUCUAAGAAAUGGCAAUACUUGUUUUUUGAUUGAGCAACUUCAAUUCCAAGAAAGUACCGCAACCGACUAAGAUCUUUGAUCUGAAAGUGUGUAAACAAUUGUUGCUUUAGUUGUAUAAUGCCCUCUUCAUCACCUAUUAUGACAAUGUCAUCUACAUACACCACAAGGUGAUUUACCUUGUUCAAAGGCAUGCAUUUAUAAAGGAAACCGAGUGAGGUAAAUCAUCUCAUUCAAAGGCGAACAUUUAAAGAAAACUGAGCGAUCUGCUUCACAGCGAAUAAUACUAAAUUGUUGAAUAACUUUGCUAAACUUUCCAAACCAAGCACUAGGUGACUAUUUUAAUCCAUACAAUGACUUUUGCAACCUGCGGACAAUAUCAUACACUCCUUGAACAACAAAUCCAGGUGGUUACUCCAUAUAAAUUUCCUUCUCUAAAUCACCAUGUAGAAAGGCAUUCUUGAUAUCGAGUUGGUAUAAAGGCCAAGAUGGAUGGCAACCAUAGACAAGAACAAACAAAUUGAUGCCAUUUUAGCAGCCGGAGAAAACUAUCCCCAUAAUCCAAGCCAUAAAUCUUUAUAUAUCCUUUUGCCACCGAUCAAUCCUUCAAUCGAUCCACAUGCCCCUCGGGCCCAACUUUGACAAUGAAAACCCAUCGACAAUCAACCGUAAAUUUUCCAGGAAGAUGAGGAACAAGAGUCCAUGUACUAUUGGAUUCCAAAGGUGCCAUCUCAUUAAUCAUUGCAUAUCUCCAUCGUGGAUGAGAUAAUGCUUCCUGGACAUUCUUAGGAAGGGUAAUAGAAGAUAAGGCAUAAUGGCAGGAAGAUAACCAUGGUAAGUCACAAAGUUAUAAAUAGGAUAUGGAUUGAUAGUGGAUCGUUUACCUUUAUGAAGUGCAAUAUGUUGGUUAGUGGAAGUGUCGGGUGGGACCGUAGCAGGAGAAUAGAUUGGUGUAGGAGUUGAGUCACGGGGAUCGGGUGGAAGGACAACCUAUGGAGCUCUAUGAUGACGCCGAUAAAUAAUACCAUACCUAUGAUCAACCUGUGAGGAAGACACAUGUUCUGAAACUUGAUGAACAUCAAAAAGAAGAAUUGGUAAUACGGUAUUAAAUAUGAAUUAACUGAUGACACGAAGAACAUAGUAUCCUCAAAGAAUGUGAUAUCUGCAGACACAUAGAAACGAUGUGUGCUAGGACAAUAACACCGAUAUCCCUUUUGAACCUGAGAAUAUCUAAGAAAGAUACAUUUGACCGCCCGAGCAGACAUCUUAUUAAGUCCUAGAGUAAGAUCAUGUACAAAACAGGUGGAAACAAACACGAAAGGGGUCCUGUUGAAACUAAAUAGACUGGAAAAUUUUAUUACCCAAAACAGAAGAUAACAUGCGAUUAAUUAAAUAGCAUGCCGUAAGAAUAGUGUCACCCUAAAAUUUUGAAGGUGCCUUAGCAUUUAUCAACCGUGUCCAGGUGGUAUCAACAAUAUGACGAUUUUUACGUUCAAUCACACUAUUUUGUUGCGGUGUAUGAGGACAACCAGAUUUGUGUAUGAUGUCAUGAGAAGUCAAAAUCGAUUUAAAGGGCGCAAAAAAAUAUUCUUUUGCAUUACCACCACGCAAAACUCGAAUUAUCUUUCCAAAUUGAUUUUUUAUUUCAGAAUAAAACAUUUGAAAGGCACCAAAUAACUCAGAACGGUCUUUUAAUAAAAAUAACCAAGUACACCUUGAAAAGUCAUCGAUAAAAGUAACGGUUGAGAAUGUAGGAAGUCUAAGUAGUGUGGAUAAUAGUUCCACAUUGGUUGAAAAUGUCGAGACUUGCAUUUAUAAGUGAGAGAAUCCACCCACCUAUAUCACCUUAAGGUUUUUGGUGAAUAUGUGAUGUGUCUCUCACAAAGGCGUUACUCUAGAAAAGAAGUCUCACAAUAUUCAAUGCUCCCUAGUGAAAAACUCCCCUAACACAUGGUAUCAGAUCCAAUUCCAAUCGUCUGCCCCGUACUCCGGUCUUGUAUACAAAAAAAAUCAGAAUUAAAGGUUAUAGAGCAGUUCAAACUACGGUUAAGACUCCCCUAACACAUGGUAUCAGAUCUAGUUCAUUUGUAGUUCCAAUCGUCUGCCCCGUACUCCAGUCCUAUAUACCAGAGAAAUCAGAAUUAAAGGUUAUAGAUCAGUUCAAACUACGAUUAAGACGGCUGAUUGAAAUUAAAUUGAAGGCACAAGGCACAACUAGGUACAAAUAUUACUGAGUUUAAGGAUAAAGAUGGACGAGGCGAAGCGUGACGAACACCAAUUCCAUGUGCCAUUGACCCAUUAGCAAGAGUAAUGGUGUGGGAUGUUUUAGGAGGAGAUAAUUUAGAAAAGAGAGAUGAAUUAGCAACUAAGUGAUCAGAUACACCAAAAUCUAAAAUCCAUGGUCCAAUAGACACAGAGUGAGAGAAACAAAACUGAAAACAAGAAAAAAAUAGGGUUGAACUAGAGUGCUUGAUACCAACUUAAAUUUGAAUAUUUCUCAUUAUCUUCAUAAGGAAAUUACAAGUCUAUAUAUACAAAAGGCGAUUAAAUACAAUUCCAUAAUAAUAGAAUCGUAUUAAAAACAAAAUUGACUACUAAUAAAUACAAAAUAUAUUUACAAUAACAAGAUGGCUACUGUUAAGAGUCCCACAUCGGAUAAUAUAUGGCCUGAACAUGUGUUUAUAAGUGGGGACAAUCCUCACUCUACCAACCAGUUUUGUAGGGUUGAGUUAGACUUAACCACAUUUCUUAACAUGGUAUCAAGAGUCUCGUUUAAGAUCCGGUGGACCACCUGCGCGUGAGGGUGUGUGUUAAGAGUCCCACAUCGAAUAAUAUAUGGCUUGAACAUGUUUAUAAGUGGGGACAAUCUUCACUCUACCAACCGAUUUUGUAGGGUUGAGUUAGACUCAACAAUAUUUCUUAACAAUUACAAAGACUACUAAGCAAAAGCAGGCAACCCCAAAUAAGAAAAAGAAACCACUUCCAUAAAAUACAUUUAAAGGGAGCAACAUAUCAUUCAUAGUACAAACAAUAUCCAUCCUUAGCCCGAGCUGGGAACCACUUGGAUUGCCUAGAGCACAUAAUACCAUACCGUCUUUAGAUCCUUCCCCCCUUUUUCUCUAUAGAGCCAAAAGACUUGAAGCUAAAAAGAGGUGAUACAUUACAUACCACAUGGAAUUACUAGCUAUAGGAUCAUGUCAACCAUUUACACACUGCAUUCUAUGAAGUCCGGACUCGGACACGAGACACGACACGGACACGAGGAUCCUGGUAAUGUAAAAAACAUAGGACACGGACACGAUUAUAUAUAUUUUAUAUAUUUAUAUAAUAAUGCAAUUUAUGAGCACAAUUUCUAAAGAGUUAAAAUGAAAAGCAAAAUUUAUGUUUAUUUACACUUUUUUUUGACACAAAUAUUUAAUUUAAAUUUAAUACUUUCAAUCAACGGGAAAAAAAAGACAUAAAUUUACCAAAAUAAAAUGAUACAAAUCAUAUCAUAGUCAAAGCACAUUGAGAAAACCAGCCUUUAACCCAGCCUCAUCAAAAGACAAGUCAGCAACUUCAAAAAAUCCCCAGUCAUCUAAUGAUCCAAACUCAUCUCCAACGACAUCCCACAUUCUAUUUCCUCGGAGAGUGCUCCUUGAUAGAAGGUUACUAUGCACAAUGUGGUGUCAUCUUGUUUCUCUUCAAAGAAUAGAUAAAUGAAUAUGUGCUCUAAUUUCUUUCACAACAUGAUGAUGAAUAAGGUUGUGCAAUUAGUUUUAAAUCAACCUUUUUUUUAAAUUCUAAAAAUUUUUGAGUUUGCCUUUUUUUUUUUAAUUCUGAAUUUUUUAAAGUUGGACCUUAUCUUUUAUUUGAAAUAAGGUGUCGUAUCCGUGUCCACUGCGAUUCAAAUGUUUUUUUUUUGUUGGACACUCCAAAAAUGUGUCAGAUACGUGUUGAACGAGUAUCCAUGUCGGACACGUGUCUGACACGGCGAGUGUCCGACAUGGCGACACGCCGUGUGAAUGGCGUGUCAGAGCUUAAUAGCAAACUGCACAAUAAAAGUCAAACGUACCAAACAAUUGGAGUUUUGAUUCGGGAGGUUUUGUGAAUAAUUAACAUAACAUGGCUUUGACAUCACCAAUAACCCUCCUCCAAAAUAGAUUAAGCCGAGUAGAAACUGGGAAAGCCUGUUCAACAACAAUUGCUAAGAAAAAUCUAUUAGCUUGUGCAUAAUUCCUUAUCACCUAGUCCUUAGGAAAACAUAUCAGGGGAAUAGAUUUUGCAGAAAAAUUAGUAUACGUUGAACUGACAAAAUAUGCCUCAAUUGUUAGGCGGGUUAGAAUGGACAUAUGUUUUCUGGGAGUUUAACUUAUAGUCAUUUGAUUCCUAAUCAUCAACCCCUCAUCCAUAAGAAAUUACUGCAAGAUGAACUGACAAAAAUCAUACAUCCAUUCUAACCGGUUUCCCUUCAGGGGGGAAAGAAUAAUGGAUUCCAGCCGCCAAAGAAACUCAUCCCUUAGUGCUUGCUCACUGACAAAGAAACUCCUCCUUCAGCCAAAAACCUCCCAUAGCCAACCUCCAAGAUCAUUCCCUUAUAUAUUGCAAAAAGCCUCAUGAAGACAUCCUAAAAAGGUACAUGAUGGUGACAUAAAAUGCACUCACUAAUAUUAACCAGACAUACGUAUGAAAUGAGGGUAGGAAAAUAACUUAAACAAUUGCACCUUUAAAUAUUAACUUUUUCGUAUAAAUGAGAUGAAAAAUUCUUAGAGGUAGGACAGGAGGAAGUAUUUUAUAUGUGUGCGUGCUCCUGACUAUGUGUGUGCAUGCAUAGGUAACAUGACAUAAGAUGGAAAUUAUAAUCUACCAAGAUAUGAAAAUCAUGAUUGAUAUAUCCUCUUUAUGGAAAUUAUGAUCUACCAAGGUUAGAAUCCUUUUUUAUCCCAAGAUCUAGGGUCUAGACCCUGUUGGUUGAAAGAAAGGAUUCCAAUUCCAAGUUCUCCCGUAAUAGUAUUAAUGUGAAGAGUAAGCAAAAUCACAUUGUAAGUUGAAGGUUGGCGGUCGCUAGGAUGAAGAGGUUUCAGAAGUGCAUUCAGAGGUCACUAACUACUUCUCUAGUCAGUUCUCUGAAUUUCCUAGUGACAAACUAGGGUUAGAUGGGGUCACUUUUCCGACUCUUGCUUCGGACUAGAGGUCAGCCUUAUCGUCUCAUUUCCUGUAGGUGUGGAGUUAGAUGAAUUGGUUUGUAUGUGUGAUGGAAACAAGUUUCCGGGUCCUAUCGGAUCGAUUUAUCCUUCAUGAAAUAUUGUUGGUAUCUUUUUAUGGAAGGCUUUUGGUUGACGUUUCACCUGUUGUGUGCUAAUGCUAGGCUUAUCUCUUUAUUGGUUGUUUGAGCUAACUGGUUGCCAAGUUUUGGCAUGUAGGCUAGCUGAGGUUAUGGGAUCACCUAAUCUCUCUUGAUCAGUCAACUUUUGUUAAAGGGGGGAAAUUGGUUGGUGGGUUUAUGGUGGUGAAUGAUAUUAUCGAUAUGACUAAGAAAUAUAAUAGGGAAUGUUUGAUCUUCAUGGUGGAUUUUAAAAAUGCUUAUGACUCGGUGAAUUAGGUUUCUUAGACUACAUGCUUGGUAGUUUUGGUUUUAACAAUAAGUGGCACAACUGGAUUUGUGCUUUUGUGUUUUACGGUAACCUCUCUAUUCCGAUAAUGGGUGUCUGACGAAAGAGAUUAAUACUCACAAAGGUCUCAAGUAGGGUGAUCACGUAAUCCUUUUCCGUCUGGUGGUAGAAGCAUUGAGAGGGAUGUUCCCGAAGAAUGAGUCCCUUGAGUUGUUUUAAGGACUCUCUGUGGGACGGACUUUGGUGUGUUUACUUUUCAUCUAUUGUUUGCGGAUGUCACUUUUCUUUUUGUUGAAUCUAUAGCUGAUAACCUUUAGACAAUGGCGACUACUUUGUGCUGUUUUGGGCUAGCAUUGGGGAUAUAUCUUAAUUUUUCUAAAAGUAGCAUUAUGGAAGUGAAUGGGCGAGGGAGAGUGUUUUCUUAAUUGCAAAGUAGGCUCAAUUCCCUUUAGAUAUCUUGGCCUUUUAGUGGAAGCAAAUAGCUGCAAAUUGGAAACCUGAGAAGCUCUCAUUGCUUCUUUUCGUAAGAGAUUUGAGUCCUGAAGAAAUAAGUAUAUCAUUUUGGAUGGUAGAAUUGUCCUUUUGAACUCUAUUCUAAGUAGCAUUCUUAUCUUUUAUCUCAUUUUUCUGAUAUUGUUUGUUGAGGUGUGGAAACAGACUACCAACUUUAUAGGCGGUUCCUUUGAGGAGGGGUGAAAGGAAGUAAUAAGAUUUUGUGGGUAAUAAGAUUUUGUGGGUUAAGUGGUCUAAUGUCUAUAAGCCGAAUAAAGUUGGGGGUUUGAGGUGAAAGACUUGAGGUAUGUUAGCUUGGCUCUGGUAGGUCAGUGGAGAUGGAGGGUAAUUUAUGGUGUUGACUCUUUGUAGCGUAAGGUUCUUAUAGCUAGGUAUGAUAGCAUGUCGUCCUUUCACUAGCUAGCAAUUGCACCAAACUAUUUCACUGAUACUCUUAUUGGUGAAGUCAAAUUUCUCAUUGAGUCUAUGUUUGGUAACAUGGUCACUCAUCGCUGCCUCACGUUUAGUACACUUUCUACCAUGAUUUUGUGAAGCUACUAUUUGCAGCUUCUCUUACAACGUGAUUUGUGACCGUUGUUUUAUCUUUUUCCAAACACACACUUAGAUGUUUCUUCUAAAGUUGUUUCUUCCCGGUUCUCGGAGGGUGUGGAGAAAGUGAUAUGUAAUGAGUUGUUGACAAAAUUUUGGUUUGAUGAGUAUCUGGGUUAGUUGGCUAGGCCGAGAAUUUGUUGUUAGUUAGCUAGGCCGAGAGUUUGUUUUACCACCUGACUUGUACUGCCUAUUCUCGGUUUUUAGUUGUUGCUUAGCUCUGAUCUAUCAUUUAGCGAUUUGAUCGAAUGAAAGUUGUAGAAUUAUUUUAUUUUCUCUAAUAAGGUGGUCGACUCAGUAACUAGUGGAUCACGUUAAGUUCUCCUCUUAGUAACUGUUUAUGGCCAAGUCCCUAAGAUUUGUGUCUACAUUCUUUAAGUGAGUAGGAGAACCCAUUAUUUGCCUAGGGAGAUAGUUUGUGGAGCAUUUAGUUGACUAGUCUUGUUUCUUGUGUGUUUUGUAUUCUGAGGGCUUUUCUGCGCCUGUGUUUUAGGCUUUUCCUAUGCUCUUGGGAGUGUAGACAAGAAGUGUUUCUUGAACCAAACCAUGAACAACUAGACAAAAUCAUGCAACCACCAUUUUGUUUUGAAAUUUAGUUUAGCCGCGUUGAAUUAGGAUGUCAAGGGUUUAUCUAACUACCACAUAGCUAACUAUCAUGUUUUACUUUCUUUUGAGUUUUGAAUUCUACUUGGCUGUUGAGUAUAUAUGGAGGUUUUGUUGUUUUGAGUAGAACAAUAGUACUAUUGUUAUUGCUUGUUAAUGAUCAUAAUGUUAUCGGUCUGCUUCUUGAAACUAUUAUUACUUUGGUAUUUGAAUUUGAAUUUGAAAUUGAAUUCUCAGGUUUGCAUUUUCAUACAAGCUACGAUAAGAGAUUGGGAAAUUGCAAAACACAGAAGAUGCACGUUUAAUUGCAUCUCUACUUCAACUGAUUAUGGCCAUUACAGACGCGGCGGGUUACCUGCUGUAAAAACAGCACGCUGUUCCGUUAAUUUGAAAUCAGACAGUUUGGAUUGCACAUUAGUAAAAUCAACUAUAAACAAUCUCGGAUCUCAAUUCCAGAUCGAACGGUUAGGGGCGGGUGAGUUACUGUGUGACGACGCAGUUACUGCAUCUAACUCAAAUCCAUUACAUGAUGGUAGAAUAGCACAUGUAUCAAGUUUGAUGGCAUACAUCCUUUAGACAACAGCCUGGCAAGAUAAUUAAGCCAUGGAUGGAACAAACUCUUAUAAUAAGUUUAGUUUAUUAAGAAAUUCCAUAUUAUCUUGUUCCAAAAUCAUGCACCUCAUCUUGAGUUGAAACAUGAUCCUGACCUGACAAUAUAUAUUUUGUAAUGACAUACCAAAACAAUGUUUCUUUAUUUUUAAUGAUAGUGUAUUUAUUGUAUCCUUUUGUUUUUAGUUAGGUAAUAAUACAUCACAACAUGCACAAUAGGCAUGUUAGCUGAAUAGUACUAUUACUUAUCCAAUGAUCUAAGAACUGUGGUUGAUAAUGCAAGUAGAUAUACCCACCAAUAAUUUUAUGGGCAUUUCACCAAAGUUGUGUAGUUUUUAACAAUCCAAACUUUAACUUUCACAUGUAGUAGUAUUUCAAAAUAGAGAAUCACUUCAUUAUUGGGACCAUAAAUGUUCUUUAUCAUCCUUCACCUGCAUAUAAAGCACAUAAAUACAAGUAUUAAAGCUGUUAAAGU